rnacentral:rRNA from 1 species
GAUGAACGCUGGCGGCGUGCCUAAUACAUGCAAGUCGAGCGAACAGAUGAGAAGCUUGCUUCUCUGAUGUUAGCGGCGGACGGGUGAGUAACACGUGGGUAACCUACCUAUAAGACUGGGAUAACUCCGGGAAACCGGGGCUAAUACCGGAUAAUAUUUUGAACCGCAUGGUUCAAUAGUGAAAGACGGUUUCGGCUGUCACUUAUAGAUGGACCCGCGCCGUAUUAGCUAGUUGGUAAGGUAACGGCUUACCAAGGCGACGAUACGUAGCCGACCUGAGAGGGUGAUCGGCCACACUGGAACUGAGACACGGUCCAGACUCCUACGGGAGGCAGCAGUAGGGAAUCUUCCGCAAUGGGCGAAAGCCCGACGGAGCAACGCCGCGUGAGUGAUGAAGGGUUUCGGCUCGUAAAACUCUGUUAUUAGGGAAGAACAAAUGUGUAAGUAACUGUGCACAUCUUGACGGUACCUAAUCAGAAAGCCACGGCUAACUACGUGCCAGCCGCCGCCGUAA